GCCAGCAUGGCCUAGUGGUUGGAGUGUUGGACUGCAACUCUGGAGACCAGGGUUUGAUUUCCAGCUCAGCCA